AUUAGUUUAUUUUCUUUCAUGACUGGGGCAAGAGUUAAAUUUUGUUCUUAUUGUUACCAAAUUUUGGUCCCUUUCUCAUUCUCCUAGAAUGUUUUGCUUUAAGUUUCUAAACUCUAGGAUGGGAAUUCAUUGUGAUGAAGGCCAUUGUCGUCUACUCAACUUCUCUUUCACAUUCAUCAUUCCUUUGCAGCUUAAAUCAACAGAAUUUCUUAAUUAUUUGCUAUUUAUUCAAAUUUUUGUACUGCUAAAUGCAGAGAUUGAAAGACCACUUGUUCUGAAAACAAAGUGAGAUUCAACAGCAUAUUACUUCCAGACAAGUUAAACAUCAAAAACCCAUAGUUUUUACCUUCAUUUAAUUUGGAUUUUCAGAAAAAAAUGGAGUAUCCAGAAGUUCUUCUAAAAUAUGUAAAGCAUUUGCCCCAAAUUGAAGCCUUACUUAUCUUAAACCUCAUUUUCUAUCCAAGAGUAAAUUUCUGCAUGCAUAUGUUCUUGAUGAGUGGGAUAUGAAUUCUGAAUCAUUUUUACUGGACUUCACUUUCUCCGAACGCUUGUUCAUCAAGUAUGAGGAAUCACAGGGAUGCUGUUGAAAUUCUAAAAUAGGAUAGUGGAGAGCAAAUGCAAAGGGUUGCUGAAUUAAUGCAUUGGCAGAAGUUAUUAGAACAAACAUUAAAAACCAAAACAAUGUCAUGGCAGCAAUUACUUGAUUGACUUGACAGAAUUCGCAUUCACAGAACCACAAUUAAUGGGUUUGGCCUUCCACACAUUGGCCUUCCACACAUUGGAUUACAACUUUGGUGUCUGCUGCCAGAAGAUUCAUAAAAAGUGGUUGGGCAGUAAAAACAUAGUGUAAGCACUGUACUUCAAUUCUGUGUUCAAAAACAAGCAAUGCAAUGAGUAAUGCCAAAAUAUCAACAAUGUCAAAACCCUCCAUGCAGCAGUCAUCUUCAUAACUUCACUGGCGGCAAAGAUGACACAGAUGCACAAGCCUAUGCAGGUUGUGUCCUCAGCAUCCCGGAGUAAAGCUCACAGGGAUAAGAUUCCUGCUUGAUGAUAAUUCAGAAAACAUCUCUGAAAAGCUGGCAGUUAUAGAAUAAAUCUUGUUGAGCUGGAAGCAGAAAUGAAACAUGUUGUAUUAGAAUGGUUCUCUGCUGCUAUAUUUUCCCAAGUUGUGUGUUCCAUUUUUGGUGGUUUCGGACUUCACAAAUGUAACAUGUUGGUCUUGUAACUGUCCCAGGUUUUUAACACUUAACAUAUAAGCCAUAGGUUGGGUUCCAUGGGGUUGAUCUGUUGAUCAAGGUCUUAGUUUGGCUUACUUUGUUAAGUUUUUCCUGGAUUUCGCUAAUAAAAUCUGACUUAUGCAAAAAAGAAAUGAAGCUGGACGAUGAGAGUUUUGCUCACUUCUUUGAAAAACA